GCUUAACACAUGCAAGUCGAGGGGAAACGACAUCGAAAGCUUGCUUUUGAUGGGCGUCGACCGGCGCACGGGUGAGUAACGCGUAUCCAACCUGCCCAUCACUUGGGGAUAACCUUGCGAAAGUAAGACUAAUACCCAAUGAUAUCUCUAGAAGACAUCUGAAGGAGAUUAAAGAUUUAUCGGUGAUGGAUGGGGAUGCGUCUGAUUAGCUUGUUGGCGGGGUAACGGCCCACCAAGGCGACGAUCAGUAGGGGUUCUGAGAGGAAGGUCCCCCACAUUGGAACUGAGACACGGUCCAAACUCCUACGGGAGGCAGCAGUGAGGAAUAUUGGUCAAUGGGCGAGAGCCUGAACCAGCCAAGUAGCGUGCAGGAUGACGGCCCUAUGGGUUGUAAACUGCUUUUAUAAGGGAAUAAAGUGAGUCUCGUGAGACUUUUUGCAUGUACCUUAUGAAUAAGGACCGGCUAAUUCCGUGCCAGCAGCCGCGGUAAUACGGAAGGUCCGGGCGUUAUCCGGAUUUAUUGGGUUUAAAGGGAGCGUAGGCCGGAGAUUAAGCGUGUUGUGAAAUGUAGACGCUCAACGUCUGCACUGCAGCGCGAACUGGUUUCCUUGAGUACGCACAAAGUGGGCGGAAUUCGUGGUGUAGCGGUGAAAUGCUUAGAUAUGACGAAGAACUCCGAUUGCGAAGGCAGCCUGCUGUAGCGCAACUGACGCUGAAGCUCGAAAGCGUGGGUAUCGAACAGGAUUAGAUACCCUGGUAGUCCACGCGGUAAACGAUGGAUGCUCGCUGUUUGCGUCUGACGUAAGCGGCCAAGCGAAAGCGUUAAGCAUCCCACCUGGGGAGUACGGUCGCAAGACUGAAACUCAAAGGAAUUGACGG
rnacentral:rRNA from 1 species